UGUAACUAUGUUAAAUUAAACAAAUAAAUAUAUAACUAAUUAAAAUAACUCACUGUCAGAAACAUCACCUGCCCAAGGACACGCGUGUUGAGACGUCUCACUGUCAGAAACAUCACCUGCCCGAGGACACAUGUGUUGACACGUCUCACUGUCAGAAAUGUUCCUCAGCUAAAGGGACACCAGCAUCCCAGCCACUGCCCAAACAGGAAUAAGCUAAGGGUCAAAGGUCCUGUGAUUGGACGAUUCGUCCGCCAGUCAUCAUUUCACAAACCACUCCAAGAGCCAAUCCGGUGUUACUGGCCAGAUCAGGAGGCUGAGGAAAUGCCUAAAGACAAGCUUCAGGUCA